CAGAUGAUCCAUCUGACUGGUGAA
rnacentral:siRNA from 1 species